rnacentral:rRNA from 1 species
CAGUCGCCGCGGGAAUACGGAGGGUGCAAGCGUUAAUCGGAAUUACUGGGCGUAAAGCGUGCGUAGGCGGUUCGUUAAGUCUGUUGUGAAAGCCCCGGGCUCAACCUGGGAAUGGCAAUGGAUACUGGCGAGCUAGAGUGUGUCAGGGGAUGGUGGAAUUCCCGGUGUAGCGGUGAAAUGCGUAGAGAUCGGGAGGAACAUCAGUGGCGAAGGCGGCCAUCUGGGACAACACUGACGCUGAGGCACGAAAGCGUGGGGGGCAAACAGGAUUAGAUACCCCCGUAGUCCCUGUCUCUUAUAC